rnacentral:rRNA from 1 species
AGCCCCGCGGAUCUAUGCGGGGUGUCCUCUGCCCUGUGAUUACUUUAACGGCCGCAGUACUCUGACUGUGCUAAGGUAGCAUAAUAAUUUGGCUUUUAAUUGAAGUCUUGGAUGAAUGGGAGUUGGGGGGGGUCCUUUCUUAAUCUUUUUCUUGUGAACUUACUAAGGAAGUGAAAAUUCUUCUAAAUAGAAGAGGGACGAGAAGACCCUUAGAGCUUUAAGAGUUACUUUUUGUUGGGGCGACAGGGCCGGUUGAACCUGCUUUAUUUACAAGUCUUUUUUACACAGCGAGAAAAAGCUACCUUAGGGAUAACAGCAUAAUUUUUUAGAAAGAUUGUGACCUCGAUGUUGGACUAGGGACCUUAUAACUAGCAGUUAAACUGGAGUGUUCUGUUCGAACAUCUCUCCCU